rnacentral:rRNA from 1 species
UACGUAGGUCGCAAGCGUUGUCCGGAUUUACUGGGCGUAAAGAGCGCGCAGGCGGCUGGUCAAGUCCGAUGUGAAAUCUCCCGGCUCAACUGGGUAACUGCAUCGGAAACUGAUCGGCUUGAAGGUGGGAGAGGGUAGUGGAAUUCCCGGUGUAGUGGUGAAAUGCGUAGAUAUCGGGAGGAACACCAGUGGCGAAGGCGACUACCUGGCCCAUUCUUGACGCUGAGGCGCGAAAGCUAGGGGAGCGAACGGG